rnacentral:lncRNA from 1 species
GCACUAGGCGGAAGCCCCCAAAGUAUCAGCGCCGCUUCGUGGAGCCUGGCGACUGCUUUGGGAAGUCCUGCUGGCAGGCACUCUGCCCCUGGGGGUGUGCAAAGAGUUGUCCAGUUACCUUGAUCUUCUCACAGCCUCCUCCCCAGGGCACCAGGAGAGACCAGGAUUGGAGGACGGUAAAGAACACACUUCCCAGAGGAUUCUUGGAGGUAGAGUCAACAGGAAGGGGUGGUGAGACCUGCACAGACCUGCUCUGUCCCCUGGGCCUGGUGACAGAUGACCUGGAUGUUGGGUGCAGCUGGGCAGGGACUGCAAUUCUGUGUGUCCCUUUUUCUGGGAGCCACAGGAAACCCAUGCCCUAAUCCACAUCAGACUACCACUUGUCCUUAUCCUCCAAACGCAGCAAAAUAUUACACAAGGUCCAGGGCAAGGCAGGAUGGCCACCUCGCUCACUCAUCACAGCUGUCCUCUGACCUGAGC